AUGGCCGAGAGCGCCGCCGCUGCCGGGCAAUCAUCCUCGGCGAGGAAGUCUGGGGUGCCGGUGUUCGUGAUGAUGCCGCUGGACACGGUCAAGACGUGCUGCGGGAGCGGUCUGAACCACCGGAAGACCAUGGCGCGGGAUCUGGCGGCUCUCAAGAGCUCGGGCGUGGAGGGAAUCAUGGUGGACGUGUGGUGGGGCGUCGUGGAGGCCGAGGAGCCGGGGCUGUACAACUUCGAAGGGUACAUGAAGCUCGUCGAGAUGGCGCGCGAUGCCAGGCUCAAGGUCCAGGCCGUCAUGUCCUUCCACCAGUGCGGCGGCAACGUCGGCGACACCGUCAACAUCCCGCUGCCGCGGUGGGUGGUGGAGGAGAUGGACAAAGACCAGGACCUCGCCUACACUGACCAAUGCGGACGCCGCAGCUACGAGUACGUCUCACUCGGCUGCGACGACAUGCCCGUCCUCGACGGACGCACGCCCAUCCGGUGCUACACCGACUUCAUGCGCGCCUUUCGCGACCACUUCGCCGCCUUCCUCGGGGACACCGUCGUCGAAGUACAAGUCGGCAUGGGGCCGGCGGGCGAGCUACGGUACCCGUCGUACCCGGAGAGCGAAGGAACCUGGGCAUUCCCCGGCAUCGGCGCCUUCCAAUGCUACGAUAAGUAUUUGCUCAACAGCCUGAAGAUGGCAGCGGAGGCGGCGGGCAAUCCGGACUGGGGCUUGGGCGGGCCGACGGACGCCGGCGGCUACAACAGCCGGCCGGACGACACGGACUUCUUCCGCCAGGACGGCGGUGGCUGGGACUCGGGGUACGGCCAGUUCUUCAUGUCCUGGUACUCGCGGAUGCUCCUGGAGCACGGUGACCGCGUUCUGUCCGGCGCGGCGUCCGUGUUCGGCCACGAGCCCGGCGUCCAUCUAUCGGUCAAGGUCGCCGGCAUCCACUGGCACUACGACACAGAGUCGCACGCGCCGGAGCUCACGGCUGGGUACUACAACACGCGGCGCCGCGACGGGUACCUCCCGAUCGCGCGCAUGCUGGGCCGUUACGGCGCCGUGCUCAACUUCACCUGCGUGGAGAUGCGCGACCAGGAGCAGCCACGGGACGCGCGGUGCCGUCCCGAGGGCCUGGUGUGGCGUGUGGCCGCGGCCGCCCGCGAGGCCGGCGUCGGCCUGGCCGGUGAGAACGCGCUGCCCCGGUACGACGAUGCGGCGCACGACCAGGUGGUGGCCACUGCUCGGGAGGAGCGGAUGGUGGCGUUCACGUACCUCCGCAUGGGCCUCGACCUGUUCCAGCCCGACAACUGGCGCCGCUUCGCCUCAUUCGUGACACGGAUGAGCCAAGCCGGCUAG
rnacentral:rRNA from 1 species